AAGAGAGAAGAGAAGACAUUUCGUAGGAGAGAGGGGGUACAAGAUGGACUUUAACUUUUUGUUUUUUUUUUUUUUUUUUUUUUUUUUUUCUCUUU
rnacentral:ribozyme from 13 species